AAAACUUUCAACAACGGAUCUCUUGGUUCUGGCAUCGAUGAAGAACGCAGCGAAAUGCGAUAAGUAAUGUGAAUUGCAGAAUUCAGCGGAUCAUCGAAUCUUUGAACGCACAUUGCGCCCUUUGGUAUUCCGAAGGGCAUGCCUGUUCGAGCGUCAUUA
rnacentral:rRNA from 1 species